GCCAGUGUGGUGUAGUGGUUUCAGCACUGGACUUUGACUCUAGAGACCAGGGUUUGAAUCUUGGCUUGGCCA
rnacentral:tRNA from 1 species